AAGAAGCGCCGGGAAAGAUGGCGGCAGCUGCGGUUUGAAUUCCAGCGGCGCCGCUUGAGUCUGAACAAGAGCUGAGUUGGAGGGGGCGGGGACUUCACGCUGCUGUGUGGGGCCCCCGUGGCGCCAUCGCUCCACAGAGACCGCAGCUACCACUCCCUCAGGGUCUAUGAUGGACUCGGUGUUGGAAGAAGACGUCACCCUGCCCAGGACUCUCAGUGGCUGCAGUGGUCUUGUUCCCCAUGUACCAGAUGACCUGGAUGGCAUCAACCUCAGUGCUGGCUUGGGAAGUAGUGUGCUUCCAAAUGUUUCGGAAGAAAUGGUGUCUCCCACAAGAGCACGGAACAUGAAGGACUUUGAAAAUGAGGAACACGAUGUCAUUUGUCCCAUCAGUGGUGAUAAUAGAUGUGUUUUCUUGAUUGAGCAAAUCACCGAACUGAAGAAAGAAAACUUUAACCUAAAGCUCCGCAUCUAUUUCCUUGAGGAGAGAAUGCAACAGGAAUUUGAUGGCCCUACUGAACACAUCUACAAAACCAACAUUGAACUCAAGGUGGAAGUAGAAAGUCUGAAGCAGGAGCUCCAGGAGAGAGAGCAGCUGCUCAUCAAAGCCUCCAAAGCUGUGGAGAGCUUAGCUGAAGGGGGCGGCUCUGAAGUGCAGCGGGUCAAAGAAGAGGCGCGGAGGAAGGUGCAGCAGGUGGAAGAGGCCCUGAGCGCCAGGAUACUCCUUUUAGAAGAGGAUGUGAAAGCCACCCAAGCAGAACUGGAAAAGGCCUUUGCAGGGACAGAAAUGGAGAAGGCUCUGCGGCUGAACUUGGAAAGCAAGCUCUCAGAGAUGAAGAAGACACGCGAGCGGGACUUGGAGAUGGUUCUGGUCCUGGAGGAGAAAGACAGACUGAUUGAGGAGUUGAAGCUGUCCUUGAAGAGCAAAGAAGCUUUAAUUCAGAGCCUUAAAGAGGAGAAAUCUCAGAUGGCAUCUCCAGAUGAGAAUGUGUCAUCUGGAGAGCUCCGAGGACUUUCUGCUGCUCUAAGGGAAGAACAAGAGAGAGAAAUGGAGGCUGUGCAAGUGGAGCAUCAGAAGGAGAGAGAUCGCUUUGAGGAAAGGAUCCAGGCACUUCAGGAGGACCUGCAAGAGAAGGAAAGAGAAAUUGCUACCGAGAAGAAAAAUAGUUUAAAGAGGGAUAAAGCCAUUCAGGGUUUAACCAUGGCAUUAAAAUCAAAGGAACAAGAGGUUGAAGAACUUAUCUCUGAAAUCGAAGAGCUCAGCGCUGCUUUCGCUGAAGCCCAAGAGGCUGCACAGACGGAGGAAUUCCAGGGGUCAGAAGACGAUAAGCCUGCUCCGUCAGGAGAGGAACCCCUUUUGGAUGAGGUGUAUGCAGAGAACCACAGACUGCGUAGGAACAUUAAGAAGGUCACCCAGGAGCUGAGCGACUUGCAGCAGGAGAGAGAGAGACUGGAGAAGGACCUGAAGGAAGCCCAUCGGGAGAGGAGCAAAGGGGACUGCACCAUCCUGGACCUUAGAAAUGAAGUUGAAAAGUUACACAAUGAAGUGAAUGAAAGAGAGAAAGCAGUGGAGAAUCGUUACAAGAGUCUUUUGAAUGAAAGCCAUAAAAAAUUACACAGUCAAGAGCAAGCCAUCAAACGUCUAAUAGGAAAUGCUAAUGAAAAGGACUUGCUGCUUCAGAAAUUCAAUGAAAAUGAUUUGGAAGUAAUACAACAGAACUGUUAUUUAAUGACCACAGAUGACCUCGAGUUCAAGAGUGAAAGUUUAACAGAAAAAUGUCCUUCCCAGCAGUCACCAGCCAGCACAGGCAUUUCUGAGGAAAAGCCACAGUCAGACUAUGAAGAACUAAUUGAGGUCUUACAGAAAGAGCAGGACAUCUAUACCCAUCUGGUAGAGUCUCUGCAGGAAUCAGACAGUAUCAACAACCUGCAGGCCGAGUUAGACAAAAUUUUUGCCCUGCGGAAGCAACUGGAACAUGAUGUACUUUCAUAUCAGAAUUUGCAGAAAACCCUGGAGGAGCAGAUCAGUGAGAUUCGGAGGCAGGAAGAAGAACCACUUUCAUUUUAUAGUGAUCAAACAUCUUAUCUAAGUAUUUGCCUUGAAAAGCACAAUCAGUUUCAAGUGGAGCAUUUUUCUAAAGAAGAACUUAAGAAAAAGGUCAGCGACCUCAUACAGCUCGUGAAGGAACUAUAUGCAGACAACCAGCACCUGAAGAAAACCAUUUGUGAUCACUCCUGUGUGAGUUUCCAGGGAGAUGGCGGACUUGGGUCAGCAGGACGAACCAAGCUUCUGGCUAGCAAGGAGGACGAGAACACGAUCAAAAUUGGAAAGGAUGACGAGAAUGAUUUCCUGAGUGACCAGCAUUUGGAGCAGAGUAAUGAGAUUUUGGAGGAUCGUUUCAAAGGGUGCUGCAAAAAUGGAUAUUUAGACUGCACAGAUUCAAGUAUUUUAGACUACGAUGGGGCCCACAAACCUGGUUGCCCUGGAGACCAAAACCUGGAAGAAGGCGCCGUGCUCACGAACCUGCUUGCCCCUUUCAUCAAUGAGAAGGCCACAUUGCUACUGGAAUCCAGGCCAGACCUUCUGAAAGUGCUAUGUGAGCUGCUUCUGGAACGAAUAUGCUUGGCAGAGCAGGAAGUUUCUGGAGAACACCUUUAUGGUAAAGCUGAGAAGACACUGAAGCAGAUAGCUGUUCAGCUAAGAGGUGAACUCGGACAGUUUGUCCAAGCCAAGUCAUUUUCCAAACCACAAGAACUGAAGUCACCUUGGGAGGCCCAGCUAUUAAAGGCAGGCGAGGUGUCCAAGGUGGAGCUGAAAGAUGCCUCAGCGCAGACUGAGGCUGUAGAGGACAACCUGCUUGGAUUCAGGCAUGAGGGAACGAGAGAAGCUUGGGAAGAGAAAUCCACCAGGGCCAGAGUCAGUGCUGAGCGCCAGCCAGAGACCUUAUGCAGGAUGCCUGGGCAGCCGGCCCUUCCCCCAUGUCUCCUCAGUGGGACUGAUAGAGAUACUAAGAAGUCCCGCCUGCCAGUCCUAAUAAAACCAUCGCGGUCGUUAGGGAAUGUAUAUCACCUCCCUACCACCCAGGACGUGGUGGCCCAGCUGCAGUGCCAGAUCUUGAAGCUGCAGGGGGAGCUGAAGGAGUUUAAAAAUCACAAUAAACAACUUCACCAAAAGUUAAAUCUGGCAGAAGCACUGAUGGAGGGGAGGCCAGCACCCGACACAACAUUACUGAACGACUCUGAGAUUUACUCGUCCAGUGACCUUGCCAUCUUGCCAGCACGCAAAAAGAAUCCCGAAGAUUUUCUGGGCCUGACAUCGGUAGCUACUUACGUGAGUUCUAAGAGUCAGCCUUCCAUUAAAGCCAGUGUGGCUGGGACUGACCAAUCUGAGGACAUCAAUACCUCAAAUGAUACAGAACAUUUAAAACAGAAAAUCCACAACUUAGAAACUGAGCUAGAGGGCUACCGGAAUUUCAUAUUUCAGCUUCAAAAGCACUCCCAGUGCAGUGAGGCCAUUAUUACAGUUUUGUGUGGGAAAGAAGGGGCGCAGGACUGCUCGAGCAAGCCCACGGUCAGUACUGACGAAGAAGAAAUGACCUUUUCAAGUUUGCACCAGGUGCGAUACGUGAAGCACAUGAAAAUCCUCCAUCCGCUGGCCUCCGAGAUGAUUGAUGGCAGGAUGCUGGAGAGCCUCACACAGCAGCUGCUAGAACAGGAAUACGAGCUGCAGAAGGAGCAGAAUUUGAACAUGGAACUUUUCAGUGAAAUCCACAACCUGCAGAAUAAGUUCAGAGAUCUCUCACCCUCAAGAUACAAUUCAUUAGUUCAGUCCCAAGCCAGGGAGCUCUCCCUUCAGCGGCAGCAGAUUAAGGACAGCCAUGGUAUCUGUGUCAUUUACCGUCAACACAUGAAGACAAUGAUUAAGGCAUUUAAAGAGUUACUGCAGGCCAGCGACGUGGAUUACUGCGUGGCCGAGGGUUUCCAGGAGCAGCUGAACCAAUGUGCUGAACUGCUGGAGAAAUUGGAAAAGCUAUUUCUCAUCGGAAAAUCAGGUGGAGUCGAAAUGAGCACCCAGAAUGAACUGGUGGAGAGGAUUGAGGAAGACCGCCCAACCUACCAACAUAUUCUACCUGAAUCUCCCGAGCCUUCAGCCUCUCGUGCACUGUCUGACUGUGAAAUAUCUGAAAAGUCCUUCUCACGAGACCAGAAGCAAGACAGUGAGACUGAGAAGACUUCUGUUGUGGUGAACAAUUUUUCUCAAGACUUACUAAUGGAACACAUACAGGAAAUUCGAACUUUGAGAAAACGUUUAGAAGAAUCUAUUAAAACAAAUGAGAAGCUCCGGAAACAGCUGGAACAGCAAGGAGCUGAGGCUGAUCAAGGUCCUACAAACAUUUGUGCAUCUGGUUCAGAGCUGCAUAACUCUCUAACAUCAGAAAUUCAUUUCUUGAGAAAGCAAAACCAGGCCCUGAAUACAAUGCUCGUUAAAGGAUCCAGAGAUAAACAGAAAGAGAAUGAAAAAUUACGGGAGUCCCUCUCCAGGAAGACUGCGAGGCUGGAGCAUCUUCAGCGGGAAUGUGCCGGUGUGAAGGAGGAGAACGAAAGGCUGCAGAGGGAAGUCAGUGGGAAGGAGAGACACAGCCGGCAGCUGCUCGCGGAGGUCUGCAGCACCCGCAAGGAGCUGAGCAGGCUGCAGGAGGAGGUGAGGUUGAGGCAGCAGCUGCUCUCCCAGAACGACAAGCUACUCCAGUCCCUGCGCGUGGAACUGAAGGUGUAUGAGAAGCUGGACGAGGAGCACAGGAGACUGAGAGAGGCCAGAGUGUCCGGAGAAGGCUGGAAGGGGCAAGAGCCUUGCAGUGACCUGCACGGCCUUCUGACUGAGAUCCAGGACCUGCGGGUGCAGCUGGAAGGGAACAUCGAGACCAACAGUGCACUGCAGAGCAGGCUGGAGGAGCAGCUGGCCAGGGGGGCAGAGAAGGCAGAGAAAGGAGCCCUCGCUCUGGCUGUCCAAGUGCUGGCCGUCCCCCAGCAGUCGCUUCAGCUGGACAUACCCGAUGGUGACAAAGGUCUCAUGGCAAGUGAUAAUUCAUUUGAUCUGUUUGAUUCCAUUCAGGCAGUGACACCAAAAUCAGCUUCAGAGACCUCUCCAUUCUCUGGGAAUGAUGUGGACUCCCUCUCCUGUGACAGUGGCAGCUCAGCCAGCCUCCCAGGUGUGUCUCACCUGGUCACUGGCUCCCACCUGUGGGCCAGCAAGGACGGCCACCAUGUCCUGGGCCUGAUUGAGGACUUUGAGGCUCUGUGCAUGCAGAUCAGCCAGGGCCAGGGGCUCCUUGCCCAAAUGCACAUUCAAACCCAAGAGGCUGUCGGUCCUGCAAGUGAAGAGCUGGCAACAAAGCCACUUGUCUGGGAUCCUGGGCCAGUGCUCCCAUUUGUCCACUUACUCAUCUGUCCUCUGCACCUACGCCCCAGUGUCAAUGCUUCCGCCAGUCCCCUGUCUGUGGCUCAUCAGGCUCCGGGGCAGGCCCUAAUCCUCAUGAAGUGUCCUGUGCCAUGCCACGGCAUCUGCAGCUGCUGUGAUGGGCUUGCCAGGGCCAGGGUCCACAUUCGGUGCUGCUAAGCAAGUUUAUCACCCAUGUGAGCGAAGCCAAGCUGAUCCUGGAUGAGGCCUCCAGGCAACUGAAGCUUCUCUGGAGGGUCUCACUUCCCACAGAUGGCCAGUGUGGCCUUCACUGCGAGCAGAUUGGAGAAUUGAAAGCAGAGAUCACCGAACUGCACAAAAAAUUGUCUGAACAAGAAAAGAAGUUGCAAAACACUGUGCAGCUUUUGCAGCUGAGCAAGCACCAGGAGAAAGUCAUCUUUGAUCAGU